rnacentral:rRNA from 1 species
AUGCAUUUGAUUGUGCUCCCAGCUGAGGCUGCUGGGUCACCCGCCGGAACGCCGCCUGGAAAAAUGGCGUCCACCCUUCUCCCGACCUUAUUGCCGCCAGUUUCACGUGCCGCCGCCUUCCUCCUCCGAACCCCACCAAAACCCUUCCGCUAUCACCAUUCGCUUUUCCGCAGCCUCCUCGCGUCAGCUUCUUCCCCAUCAACCUCUCCUACUCCCCGCGCCCUCGUCACCAUGGCCUGUGCAGCUGUCCCCACCCGCCGGGAUCUCCUCAUGCUCGGCAUCGAGACCAGUUGCGACGACACUGCCGCAGCCGUGGUUAGAGGCGAUGGAGAGAUCCUUAGCCAAGCGAUUGCUUCCCAAUCAGAUUUGCUUGUGAAAUGGGGUGGUGUCGCUCCUAAGAUGGCUGAAGAAGCUCAUGCUCUUGCAAUUGAUCAGGUUGUUCAGAAAGCACUCGAUGACGCAAAUGUGUCCGAGAGUGAUCUUUCUGCUGUGGCCGUGACCAUUGGACCAGGACUUAGUCUAUGCCUUAGAGUUGGUGUUCACAAAGCUCGGAAAAUAGCAAAAGUAUUUGGCUUGCCUAUUGUUGGAGUUCACCAUAUGGAGGCACAUGCAUUAGUUUCCAGGCUAGUGAAUAAGGACCUUGAUUACCCAUUUUUAGCUCUUCUAAUUUCAGGAGGACACAAUCUUCUUGUUCUCGCUCAGAACCUUGGUGAGUAUGUUCAACUGGGAACUACAAUAGAUGAUGCAAUUGGUGAGGCAUAUGACAAGUCAGCAAGAUGGCUGGGUCUUGAUAUACAGAAAGGUGGUGGUCCUGCUCUUGAAGAGCUUGCCCUAGAAGGUGAUCCAAAUUCUAUUAAUUUCACAGUUCCGAUGCGACAACACAAAGAUUGCAAUUUCUCUUAUGCUGGUCUGAAGACUCCAGUUCGAUUGGCUAUUGAAUCCAGAAAUCUGUGCACAGAUGAUAUCCCCAUUUCUUCUGCAACAGAAGAAGACAGACAACUAAGGGCGAACAUUGCUGCCUCUUUUCAGCGGAUUGCUGUUCUACAUUUGGAGGAUAGAUGUCAGCGAGCAGUUGAAUGGGCAUUGAAGAUGAGACCUUCAAUUAAAAACUUUGUUGUUUCAGGUGGUGUUGCUUCUAACCAGUAUGUUAGGACCCGCUUGAAUCAUAUUGCUGAGAAGAAUGGCCUACAGCUCGUAUCCCCUCCCCCAAGUCUUUGUACUGACAAUGGUGUCAUGAUUGCUUGGACUGGAAUCGAGCACUUUGUUCCCGGUAGAUUUGAAGAUCCACCUCCCGCUGAUGAGCCUGAUGAUAUGCAGUAUGACUUGCGUCCAAGAUGGCCACUUGGUGAGGAAUAUUCAGAAGGAAGAAGUGUUUCACGAUCACUGAAAACGGCCAGGAUCCAUCCAUCACUUACAUCCAUGACACAGAGCUCUCUCCACAACUAG